rnacentral:rRNA from 1 species
UGAGGAAUAUUGGUCAAUGGAUGAAAAUCUGAACCAGCCAAGUAGCGUGCAGGAUGACGGCCCUAUGGGUUGUAAACUGCUUUUAUGUGAGAAUAAAGUUAGGUAUGUAUACUUAUUUGCAUGUAUCACAUGAAUAAGGACCGGCUAAUUCCGUGCCAGCAGCCGCGGUAAUACGGAAGGUCCAGGCGUUAUCCGGAUUUAUUGGGUUUAAAGGGUGCGUAGGCCGUUUGAUAAGCGUGCUGUGAAAUAUAGUGGCUCAACCUCUAUCGUGCAGCGCGAACUGUCGAACUUGAGUGCGUAGUAGGUAGGCGGAAUUCGUGGUGUAGCGGUGAAAUGCUUAGAUAUCACGAAGAACUCCGAUUGCGAAGGCAGCUUACCGUAACGUUACUGACGCUUAAGCACGAAGGUGCGGGUAUCGAACAGGAUUAGAUACCCUGGUAGUCCGCACAGUAAACGAUGGAUGCUCGCUGUUGGCCUUUAAUGGUCAGUGGCUUAGCGAAAGCGUUAAGCAUCCCACCUGGGGAGUACGCCGGCAACGGUG